rnacentral:lncRNA from 10 species
GAUUUCCUUGGACUUGCAGGGGAAAAUGGGGAGGGAGGAAACGCACUGUUCCCCCUCCUCGGCAGCUCCAGACUCUUCCCGUGGGAGGCCGAUGAAGCAGCCCUGGGGGUGAAGCUGGAACUAUCCCGCGCGCCCCUGGGCCCAAGCCGCGGCUCCAGAUGUGGAUUUGUUUCCAGUGGGGAGAACGCGAGCUUCCCCCGGGCCUUGGCACAUUCUCCCACUCUGAGGUCAUUCCGUAGGUGGUCAGAGGGGAGCGCGCGCCGGGAGCCUUCCUCCCUCCAUCCACUGGGGAGGGAAGAGCGGCGGGUGGGAGGGAAGGAGAGGGAGAGGGGAGGGGCGCGAGGAGGGAGGGAGACGCCGCCAGCACACCACCAAGUGGCACCGAGCAGUGAUAACAAACUCAACUUAAAAAAAAAAAAGGGAAAAAGAAAAGGAAAAAACUUCCCCAAGUUGCAGCCCGAGACAUGCGGACGUGCGGGGCAGAGGCGCGGGGCAGGGAGUGCGGGUGGCCCUGAAACCCCCGGCGUCCCCCGGCUGCUUUCCCCGGCCACAGAGAGCUCAGACUCGAGGCCGACCAGGCCCUGCGCCUGUGCCUGGGCAGGAAAUGUGCUGGAGGCUGGCUCCGCUUCCCGCUGGAGACCCCGGGGCGGCCAGUUCCCGUGGGGGACAGGACCCCCCUGGAGCGGGGGCGGCCGAGAGACGCGCAGCACCCGCUUCAUCCCCAGCCACCAACAUCACCCCCCAUUCUCCCACCGCCGACCUUGCGGAUGUGGGUAGAUCCCGCCCGCCCAGGCCGAAGAGAACUGGGGUUUACAUGGGGGUGGGCGGGGUCUCUCCCCACACCUCUCUAUCCUCUCUGACGCCCCC